UACGUAGGGGGCAAGCGUUGUCCGGAUUCAUUGGGCGUAAAGAGCUCGUAGGCGGCUUGGCAAGUCGGGUGUGAAACCUCCAGGCUCAACCUGGAGACGCCACCCGAUACUGCCAUGGCUAGAGUCCGGUAGGGGACCACGGAAUUCCUGGUGUAGCGGUGAAAUGCGCAGAUAUCAGGAGGAACACCGGUGGCGAAGGCGGUGGUCUGGGCCGGAACUGACGCUGAGGAGCGAAGGCGUGGGGAGCGAACAGG
rnacentral:rRNA from 1 species